UGGGGAAUUUUGGACGAAUUGGGCGAAAGCCUGAUCCAGCAAUGCCGCGUGUGUGAAGAAGGCCUUCGGGUUGUAAAGCACUUUUGUCCGGAAAGAAAUCCUUGGCUCUAAUACAGUCGGGGGAUACGGUACCGGAAGAAUAAGCACCGGCUAACUACGUGCCAGCAGCCGCGGUAAUACGUAGGGUGCAAGCGUUAAUCGGAAUUACUGGGCGUAAAGCGUGCGCAGGCGGUUUGCUAAGACCGAUGUGAAAUCCCCGGGCUCAACCUGGGAACUGCAUUGGUGACUGGCAGGCUAGAGUAUGGCAGAGGGGGGUAGAAUUCCACGUGUAGCAGUGAAAUGCGUAGAGAUGUGGAGGAAUACCGAUGGCGAAGGCAGCCCCCUGGCAAGUACUGACGCUCAUGCACGAAAAGCGUGGGGAGCAAACNGGAUUAAUACCCUGGUAGUCCACGCCCUAAANGAU
rnacentral:rRNA from 1 species